AUAAUCAUAUCACAUUCAGUUUAUUUCCUUUUCUUUUCUUUUCUUUUUUUUUUUUUCUUUUAACAUUUUCAUAAUGGGUGGAUGG
rnacentral:ribozyme from 12 species